GGUCCCCACCACAGCCAGAGGGCAAAGGCAUCCCGGCAGAAGGCAGGGGAGGGGGCGCUUCCUCCAGAAAUCCGCUGGGCUAUUGUUACACUUUCCGAGGCCAGGGAAUAUUUCCAGGAGGUUGUGACAACCAAAAAAAAUAAUAAUAAUAACGCCCCUCCCCCAGCAGCAGGAAUUCUGGAAAAAACAGCUGCUGCUGUGUUCGGGCCGAGAAAAAAACCAGGUCAGGCGCCGCGGAGAUCUAAUUUAAGGCGCGCACCGCCCUGGCUGCCCGGGUGCGGGGUUCGGGCCCAGAGGCUCCAGCCCCAGCCUGGGGCGCAUCCAGGCCGCCGGGUCCAGGCCGCCCACGGGGCCCUGGGGGAAGGGAAGGGGGCUGUGCCCCGGGAGGCUGGGACGAGCAGGGUGCUCAAGGAAGCACCCAGUACGUGGGGGAACGGGCAGGGCCCGCUAACGGGAAGCCCAGGGCGCGGGCUCCGGGCGGGCCGGCUGGGCCUGGAGGCUCCCCGGGCUGCCCCCCACCCCGGCCGCUCGGGCCCGCGGGGCAGGGCGCCGAGGGUCCCGCGAGCCCCGGUCUCUGGGGAGCGCAGGCGGGUGGCACGCGGUGGCACGGCCGGGCCUGCUCGGUCCCCAGGGUCCCCGCGGGCCCUGCCGGGCGGGGGGGCGCGUUUGCCCGCGUGGACGGCCCGAGACUCCGGAGCCCGUGCUGCGCUCUCGACACCGCGAAGGACCCAGAGGAGCUGGGGGGAAAGGGCGCCGAGUGCGCGGUACCGGGUGGCGCCGGCGGGAGAGGCCACGGGGGACACAGGGCGGCAGCUCCCGCCGCUCCUCCCCUGCUCCCCCCGCCCCCGCCCAGGGUGUGAGUUCCUGUCUCUGGGGCAGAAAUCAACAAACAAACAAUUCUCGGUAUUUCCCAAACUGGGGAGCCGGGGAGUGGGAAGGAAGGAUGGGGGUGGGGGGGAGACAGGGUCGAACCCGUUGUGUGUGUGUUUUUUUCUUUUUUACUUUAAAAAAUUAUAUAUUUUAUGUCACAAUCACUUUUCGUUAAGACCACAAACAUCCAAUUUGGCUUGGCGUAAUAAAAUCAGCCGGAGCUCCCUUAAACGGAGCCAUUCCGGUGAAUUAAGUUGUGAAAUCUAA
rnacentral:lncRNA from 2 species